UGAAGGUUCCAAUGUUGAGUUGGCCUGGGUGACUCACUGUUGGUGAAACUUGAGGGUUUCUGGUUCUGGUGUUUCCCACGGUGCUCUCUUUGGCUUCACUGAGUGUGCAGGUUGUUACAAGGGGUGACUGGCUUGGAGUCAGAACCGAUCAAGGUUGCUGACUAGUGCUAGGGUUCAAUACCUUGUAUUUGGUUACUUGUAGAUUGUAUCUUGUUCUAUCUUUGAUUGUAUCUGGUUUGUUCUUGAGAGAUUGACCAUCUUCGACUUACAAUGUAAAUAAAGAAAUCCCGAAUGGUAUGAUCUCUACCGAA